AGAUGCUGCUGUUUCCAUGGAGAUAAAAGGACCAAUGGCCUUUUCUUGGUUUGGACUGUACUACAGUGAGCAGGCAGAGAUGGUGCAUUCGAAAAUGCAACAUUUGGUGCUUUGAUAUUUCAGGCUAAAUAUCAAAUGAGAAAGCAUAUUGUUUUUUCUCGGUGAUGAAGUUGAAUAAUAAAUACAGCUUUGGGACUUUUUCGGGAAGCAGAAAGCAAGCCCACCAGGAAUGUGAGAACAGCGUGGCUGGUUUGUGCUUGCUAAACCUCCUCUCUGGGAAAAACCUUUUGGCUUUGCAAAAUAUAACCCUGUAGAGCCUUUGGGUUUAUCUGAUGCAGUGUUUGAUGCUGGUUACAUCACCAGUUACUUCUCCGUGAUGUUCCGCCGUGGCUGAUCCUCAAUGAACCUGCAAAAGCUGUCAAUGUGAUUCUUUUUUUCUUUUUUCCUUUUUUUUUUUUUUGUCCCUUAAGAAAGAGCUUUUCUACCUCAGGUUGCGUGAAAGAAAAUCUAAAUCCCAAAUCCACCCCCCAUCCAAGGAUGGCUUGCAGAAGGUGUUAUUUGUCUUUAAAUACUCUGCACCAGUUUUGCUGUCCAGCUCCAUUGUACCAUUCCCAGCUAGCUGUCCCUGCCACACACUCAGAGUACAGUGAUACCUGUGAAAACAAAAAGAUAAUGCAAAGGAUGUUAUAGUACCAAAGAAAUCCCAUCAUUUUCUUGCAGUCUCUGCCUGCUUAAUGUUUAAUCAGCACCUCUGGGAGCUUGUUCUUUAGUUUAAAGGAAAUGGCCCCUCGUGGUUGUUCUGGUUCAGAAGUGGCCUCGCUGCAGCCUCCUGCCAAGCCAGCAUCCUUCCCUCCACCUGCCAUAAAGCACUGUAUAGCAUUACAGAUGGAAGAUAAUGUUCUGCACCAGUUCUGCUGUCCACCUUCGGGGUCUAGUAGCCCAUCCUCAAGAUAACAGCGAAGCUGCUGAGUGUGCAGGCAGUGCUCCACCUGUAUAGCCCAGCUCUCCUCUCCUCUCUUACUGCUCUUCCUCCUGUCCAGUGCUGAGAACACACUCCAGCUGUAAACAAAUACCUGAAAUGCACAGUUUAUUUUGAACUAAAAUAAACAGUUCCAUAAGU